rnacentral:misc_RNA from 1 species
AAGAGAUCCCUGCAGGUAGGUGUCACUUUUGCUUGUUAUCAUUCUAAUUGGCUUGCCAGCAUUGGUCGGAGCAAUAGUGGCGUGUUUGUUCCACUUUAAAAUGCAAUCCAAAUCUAACACAGUGCUAUCAAUCUCACUGAGUGGCAUUAACAUCAAUUUCAGAUUGGAAAUGAAGAACUUUGUUACAUGCCCCUCAUUGAUGGUUCCCUUCUUCCACUUAGACUGCUUUAGAGAUUGUUAUUUCUUAUAUGUGCUUGUCGAUAUACAUUGAAUGAUUUAUAUAUCUUUUCAGACAAUUGGUUGAACUUCUUCUUAGUUGCUUUCAUUUUAUAUAUGGAGCUCUGUUUAUUGGCAAUAUGUUUCCUCAAAUGUGGCGUAAACACAAGCUUUUGAGCUUCUAAG